rnacentral:rRNA from 1 species
CCGGCACGGGUGAGUAACACGUAUCCAACCUGCCGUCUACUCUUGGACAGCCUUCUGAAGGAAGAUUAAUACAAGAUGGCAUCAUGAGUUCACAUGUUCACAUGAUUAAAGGUAUUCCGGUAGACGAUGGGGAUGCGUUCCAUUAGAUAGUAGGCGGGUAACGGCCCACCUAGUCUUCGAUGGAUAGGGGUUCUGAGAGGAAGGUCCCCCACAUUGGAACUGAGACACGGUCCAA